CCUCGCCUCUGCCUCACAUGGCUCAUUCCUUGAGCCAAUUCCCUCCACCUUCCCGCCCCAGUUCACCAGUCAUACCCCUAUUCUCUGAUCGCUGGACACUCUCCAUAUUGGAAUGCAGUCUGUGACCUUGGUAACCUUGUCCCACAACCUGGUCAGAGAAAACAUGGGAGGGUUGGAAGCAACACAACAUCAUAGUCCCUGAAGAAGAGGAUACCACAGUCAAUGUGGAUCACUGGAAAGGACUACUGGCGAUAGUGACAUGGCCACAGCAGCUCUUGGCCUAUCUGCACACAACAAUGUCCAGAAGACAAAAAUAGUUCUGUCCAGUAGAAUGCAAUCCAUAUAACUAAUUUGUCUAACACUCACAUCAAAAAAGUAAAAGGAUCCAGUAAUUCCACCUGAGUAUUUAACCAAUGGAAACGAAGACACUAAUCUGAAAUGAUACACACACCCCCAUGUUUACUGCAGCAUUGUUUACGACGGUCAAGAUACGGAAGCAAAACUCGCCGUAUGUCAAGUGCUCAGUAGUAACAUGUGGCUGGUGGCUAUCGUACUGCACAGCAUGGCUCUAGAAAGUUCUCCCAGAAGAGUAAAGAAGCCCCCAGAGCACUGCUUCCUGUAUCCACUGGCCCAGCGGGGCACUACCCACUUCGUGAAACAACCAUUGACAGGGGAGACAAUUUCCUUACAUCUAACCCAGCUCAUGUUGGAUGCUGUGGAUGAAGUUUCCCCUGAGGCAGAUGAGCUACUUAAUGAAGACGAGAAACAAAGAACAUAAAUCAAAAAUCUAAAAAAAAAAAAAAAAAAAAAAAA